GAUGAACGCUGGCGGCGUGCCUAAUACAUGCAAGUCGAGCGAACAGACGAGGAGCUUGCUCCUCUGACGUUUGCGGCGGACGGGUGAGUAACACGUGGAUAACCUCCCUAUAAGACUGGGAUAACUUCGGGAAACCGGAGCUAAUCCCGGAUAAUAUAUUGAACCGCAUGGUUCAAUAGUGAAAGACGGUUUUGCUGUCACUUAUAGAUGGAUCCGCGCGGCAUUAGUUAGUUGGUAAGGUAACGGCUUACCAAGGGAACGAUGCGUAGCCGACCUGAGAGGGGGAUCGGCCACACUGGAACGGGAACACGGUCCAGGCUCCUACGGGAGGCAGCAGUAGGGAAUCGGCCGCAGUGGGCGAAAGCCUGACGGAGCAACGCCGCGUGAGUUGUGAAGGUCUUCGGAGCGUAAAGCUCUGUUAUGAGGGAAGAACAAAUGUGUAAGUAACUAUGCACGUCUUGACGGUACCUAGUCAGAAAGCCACGGCUAACUACGUG
rnacentral:rRNA from 1 species